CAGGGGAGGAUGGAGAACAAUCAACAACUCAUAGAAAUUAGGUGUUUUUGGUGUAACAGUAAUGUUAUAGGCCUACUGUGCUAUGAUUAUUAUAUUUGGUUCUGUUAUGUAAAAUGCUAAUUAAUGAUCCUUAUGUGUGUCAAAAGUAGUUCUGCAGGAGGGGUGAAGUCAGGCGCAGGAGACUUAGGUAUGUGAAACACGAUUAAUGAAGAAUGCAAGUCCAAAGAACCGAACCGACAAGGCAGGGUAAAAAUAAUUCCAAAGCAAGAAAAACAGUCUAGGAAUGUAGCGGGACGCAGCCCAGCUACCCUAAUGCAAAAACGCGUAACGUAUUCUUAAGGACAAGAAAAAAUAAUCCCCCAACCUACAACAACAGACACGAAACAAUCCUGCACAACCCCACAGCCAAAACAGACAGACUAAAUACCCCACUAAUUACUAAUCACAAAACAGGUGCUACCCUAACCAGACAUUACCAAAUGAAACAGGAAAGGAAAUCGGUGGCAGCUAGUAGGCCGGCGACGACGACCGCCGAGCGCCGCCCAAACCGGGAGAGGCGCCACCUGUGGACGUUGUGACAAUGUGAUCUUGUGAGAGUUUGAUUCAGCUUUGAUCUAACUUUUUAAACAAGCACCAUUGUGAAAAGUGAUACACUUCUAUUUGUAAUAAUAUCAAUAAGUUGGUAUGGCUAUUAGGCAUAGACAACAGAUUUUGAUUAGAUUUUAAGGGAUUGGAGCACCCUCUGUCGUGCUGAAAGGACAGCACCAGGAUGGUGCAAUGGUGUUAAAGAAGUUGAACCAACUUGUGGUGCUGAAGGAAAGCCGAAGGAUAGCUCUGUCAUUCGGCCAGUUCAGGAACAAACAACAAUAAUUAGCGGUAUAGCAUAAUAGGCCUACCACUACCUGGUAUAGCUAUUUGUAGGCUUUCGCCUAAUAACGGGUCCUGAGUCUCAACCAAUAGCCAAUGUAGGCUAAAUAUACCAAGCAGAGCUACAGCAACUUCCAGAGAGGAUCAUGCUCCUUGGGUGGCAACUCUGGUUUGGGUGUCCUCAGCAGAACGUGUUGCCAUAAGCAAGUGGUCACUUCUGUGUUUCACUGCGCAAGAGGAGGUCUGUGGGGUUUGAGGAAUAUCAAGGCAGACACACAGUGAAUUUAGAAUUUUUUUCAAAAUGUUGAUUGGCGUCCACAGUGCACACACAUUCUCGCAACCGCCAGAAAGAAGGUAGGGAGGAAAUGCAGACCCGAAGACAUUCAAGCACACGCUGAGACCCCGAGUAUGACUGGACAUGGGCCGGAUAUUUGGUACAACGAUCUAGAAAGGGUGCAGAAGCACACCAGCACCCCAUUGUAUGUUUAUUCCAUGGCCAAGCAUCUCUCUACCUACCCCUUAUUCCACACUUUGCCUUUUAUGCCCUAUGGUCCCUCAACUUCAGACACUUUGGAACUCUCUUUUUUAUCUCUAUAAACCCACCCUACCUUCACCCAUUUUCCCUAUGCUGCUUCCUUCACUUGUUCUUCUCCUGAUUUGAUAGCAUAUAGAUUCAGUAACACGUUUAAAAGUGUUGUGGUGUACUGAUUUUGCUACUGUCUUUUCACCUGUGUAAUGCUGUCAUCCUCCUGCUUAUUCUGGGGUUCAGACUGAAUGCAGUGUUAAAUGUGCUGCUCACAACCGAAAGCAGCACCAUGGACCUGUUGAAUUGUGUUGAUAUAGCUGUGUUUUAGGCAUGGCUUUCUUGUUUUGAGUCUGUUAAGUGUGUUUCUGUUUCUGCUGGAGUUGACCUAGUAUUUUAUAUAAAGCCUACCUUACACAUCCAGUUUCUCCAUUUGUAACUCACCAGCCAAAGUCACAAUAUGCUGUUUUACAUUUUGUCUUGUUUUUGCUGGUCUAAUUCCUAAAAUGGAAAAGCAGAAGAAUCUGUGCGCUCUUGGAUAGUAAUGCUGGUUGAAAUGGUGCUCUUCGGUGUCCCAGGUUUGUGGCAUUGAUGAAUGUUUACUUAAAUUCAGAUGUUUAUAUGUUGUGUAUAAAAGGCAUUAUUUACUAUUUCCAUUUUUUUUUAAACAAUGUAAUUGUUGGAGUUCCUGUGUUUGAUGGGUGACUAGGUGCAUUCUUGCCAAAUAAAUAUGCUUGUUCAUUCAUGA
rnacentral:lncRNA from 1 species